rnacentral:rRNA from 1 species
CUCAACGCGGGGAAACCAUUCGAUACUGCGUGACUAGAGAACGGCAGAGGGAAACGGAAUUUCUGGUGUACCGGUAAAAAGGCGCAGAGAUCAGAAAGAACACCGAUGGCGAAGGCAGUUUCCUAGGCCGCAUCUGACGCUGAGAGGCGAAAGCUAGGGGAGCAAACAGGAUUAGAGACCCUGGUAGUCCUAGCUGUAAACGAUGGAUGCUAGGUGUGGGCCGGAAAGGUCCGUGCCGUAGUUAACGCGAUAAGCAUCCCGCCUGGGGAGUACGGCCGCAAGGCUAAAACUCAAACGAAUUGACGGGGACCCGCACAAGCAGCGGAGCGUGUGGUUUAAUUCGAUGCUACACGCAGAACCUUACCUGGGCUUGACAUGUAGGUGGUAGUGAAGUGAAAGCGGAGCGACCCUUCGGGGAGCCUACACAGGUGCUGCAUGGCUGUCGUCAGCUCGUGCCGUGAGGUGUCGGGUUAAGUCCCGUAACGAGCGCAACCCUUGUCCUUAGUUACAAGUGUCUAAGGAGACUGCCGGUGACAAACCGGAGGAAGGUGGGGAUGACGUCAAGUCAGCAUGGCCCUUAUGUCCAGGGCGACACACACGCUACAAUGGUCGGUACAAUGGGCAGCGCAGCCGCGAGGUGAAGCGAAUCCCAACAAAGCCGAUCCCAGUUCGGAUUGCAGGCUGCGACCCGCCUGCAUGAAGCCGGAGUUGCUAGUAACCGCGCGUCAGCCAUAGUGCGGUGAAUACGUUCCCGGGUCUUGUACACACCGCCCGUCACGUCAUGGGAGUUGGUAACGCCUGAAGCCGGUAGUCUGACCUAACGGAGACGCCGUCGAAGGCGGG